GUUAGGAAUUUUGCACAAUGGGCGAAAGCCUGAUGCAGCAACGCCGCGUGGACGAUGAAGGCCUUCGGGUCGUAAAGUCCUUUUCAGAGGGAAGAUACGGACGGUACCUCUGGAAUAAGCCUCGGCUAACUACGUGCCAGCAGCCGCGGUAAUACGUAGGAGGCAAGCGUUAUCCGGAUUUACUGGGCGUAAAGAGCGCGUAGGUGGUCCCGUAAGUUGGACGUGAAAGCCCCCGGCUUAACUGGGGAGGGUCGUUCAAUACUGCGGGACUUGAGGGUGGAGGAAGAGACUGGAAUUCCCGGUGUAGUGGUGAAAUGCGUAGAUAUCGGGAGGAACACCUGUGGCGUAGGCGAGUCUCUAGGCCAUUCCUGACACUGAGGCGCGAAAGCGUGGGGAGCGAACGGAAUUAGAAACCCUUGUAGUCC
rnacentral:rRNA from 1 species